GACGAACGCUGGCGGCGUGCCUAAUACAUGCAAGUCGAGCGGACAGAAGGGAGCUUGCUCCCGGAUGUUAGCGGCGGACGGGUGAGUAACACGUGGGUAACCUGCCUGUAAGACUGGGAUAACUCCGGGAAACCGGAGCUAAUACCGGAUAGUUCCUUGAACCGCAUGGUUCAAGGGUGAAAGACGGUUUCGGCUGUCACUUACAGAUGGACCCGCGGCGCAUUAGCUAGUUGGUGAGGUAACGGCUCACCAAGGCGACGAUGCGUAGCCGACCUGGGAGGGUGAUCGGCCAAACUGGGACUGAGACACGGCCCAGACUCCUACGGGAGGCAGCAGUAGGGAAUCUUCCGCAAUGGACGAAAGUCUGACGGAGCAACGCCGCGUGAGUGAUGAAGGUUUUCGGAUCGUAAAGCUCUGUUGUUAGGGAAGAACAAGUGCAAGAGUAACUGCUUGCACCUUGACGGUACCUAACCAGAAAGCCACGGCUAACUACGUGCCAGCAGCCGCCGUAACAC
rnacentral:rRNA from 1 species